UGGGUCCCCUCGAUCACCCUCCCUUGAACCUGAACUGGUCGAGAGAGAUGAACCCGCACCACAUUUUUCGAAUCGAAACCCCCAACUAGAGAUGGAAUUCCAGAACCUAAACAACUCAGUUGAGAGCUCCGUGACUGGUUCAAGGGAAGGUCAACCAAUGAUUGAUAGGCCAUGAACCUAAACAACUCAGCUGAGAGCUCCGUGACUGGUUCAAGGAAGGUCAACCAAUGAUUGAUAGGCCAUUCCCUCCCUAUCCAUCUCUCGAUCCCUUAUUCCAUUAAUCCGUUGUUACUGAUUCAUUCAAGGCAUAGACUCUCCAUUUCUUUGUCUUAUU
rnacentral:lncRNA from 1 species